rnacentral:rRNA from 1 species
UGUGGUCAUACCACCCUGAAUGUGCCUGAUUGCAUCUGAGCUUGAAAGCUAAGCAGGGUCUGGCCUGGUUAGUACUUGGAUGGGAGACCAAACAGCAACCUAACCAAAAUGU